GAUGAACGCUGGCGGCGUGCCUAAUACAUGCAAGUCGAGCGAACAGACGAGGAGCUUUCUCCUCUGACGUUAGCGGCGGACGGGUGAGUAACACGUGGAUAACCUACCUAUAAGACUGGGAUAACAUCGGGAAACCGCAUCUAAUACCGCAUAAUAUAUUGAACCGCAGGGUGCAAUAGUGAAAGACGCUUUUGCUGUCACUUAUAGAUGGAUCCGCGCCGCAUUAGCUAGUUGGUAAGGUAACGGCUUACCAAGGCGACGAUGCGUAGCCGACCUGAGAGGGUGAUCGGCCACACUGGAACUGAGACACGGUCCAGACUCCUACGGGAGGCAGCAGUAGGGAAUCUUCCGCAAUGGGCGAAAGCCUGACCGAGCCACACCGCGUGAGUGAUGAAGGUCUUCGGAUCGUAAAGCCCUGUUAUUAGGAAAGAACAAAUGCGUAAGUAACUCUGCACGUUUUGACGGUACCUAAUGAGAAAGCCCCGGCUAACUACGUG
rnacentral:rRNA from 1 species